GGGUUGUGAGGUUAAGCGACUAAGCGUACACGGUGGAUGCCCUGGCAGUCAGAGGCGAUGAAGGGCGUGCUAAUCUGCGAUAAGCGCCGGUAAGGUGAUAUGAACCGUUAUAACCGGCGAUACCCGAAUGGGGAAACCCAGUGUGAUUCGUCACACUAUCAUUAACUGAAUCCAUAGGUUAAUGAGGCGAACCGGGGGAACUGAAACAUCUAAGUACCCCGAGGAAAAGAAAUCAACCGAGAUUCCCCCAGUAGCGGCGAGCGAACGGGGAGGAGCCCAGAGCCUGAAUCAGCAUGUGUGUUAGUGGAAGCGUCUGGAAAGGCGCGCGAUACAGGGUGACAGCCCCGUACACAAAAGCGCAUGUGCUGUGAGCUCGAUGAGUAGGGCGGGACACGUGGUAUCCUGUCUGAAUAUGGGGGGACCAUCCUCCAAGGCUAAAUACUCCUGACUGACCGAUAGUGAACCAGUACCGUGAGGGAAAGGCGAAAAGAACCCCGGCGAGGGGAGUGAAAAAGAACCUGAAACCGUGUACGUACAAGCAGUGGGAGCCCCACCACUAAGCCAGUGGUGAACUCCACAUCCGCAUCCUUUGCUGAGGAUACGGUUAACGGAGCGAAAGCGACGUUCAACCGCAAAACAAGCAGAGGGGGCUUAGUGGUGGGGUGACUGCGUACCUUUUGUAUAAUGGGUCAGCGACUUAUAUUCUGUAGCAAGGUUAACCGAAUAGGGGAGCCGGAGGGAAACCGAGUCUUAAUUGGGCGUUAAGUUGCAGGGUAUAGACCCGAAACCCGGUGAUCUAGCCAUGGGCAGGUUGAAGGUUGGGUAACACUAACUGGAGGACCGAACCGACUAAUGUUGAAAAAUUAGCGGAUGACCUGUGGCUGGGGGUGAAAGGCCAAUCAAACCGGGAGAUAGCUGGUUCUCCCCGAAAGCUAUUUAGGUAGCGCCUCGUGAAUUCAUCUCCGGGGGUAGAGCACUGUUUCGGCUAGGGGGCCAUCCCGGCUUACCAACCCGAUGCAAACUGCGAAUACCGGAGAAUGUUAUCACGGGAGACACACGGCGGGUGCUAACGUCCGUCGUGAAGAGGGAAACAACCCAGACCGCCAGCUAAGGUCCCAAAGUCAUGGUUAAGUGGGAAACGAUGUGGGAAGGCCCAGACAGCCAGGAUGUUGGCUUAGAAGCAGCCAUCAUUUAAAGAAAGCGUAAUAGCUCACUGGUCGAGUCGGCCUGCGCGGAAGAUGUAACGGGGCUAAACCAUGCACCGAAGCUGCGGCAGCGAACGUAUCACUUAAAGCGAUUCAGCGGGUUACGAUUGACGGAGCGAAGCGACGUCAAAGCGUAUACAAAGUCGAGUCGGUUUAAGGAUACGUUCGUUGGGUAGGGGAGCGUUCUGUAAGCCCGUGAAGGUGGCCUGUGAGGGUUGCUGGAGGUAUCAGAAGUGCGAAUGCUGACAUAAGUAACGAUAAAGCGGGUGAAAAGCCCGCUCGCCGGAAGACCAAGGGUUCCUGUCCAACGUUAAUCGGGGCAGGGUGAGUCGACCCCUAAGGCGAGGCCGAAAGGCGUAGUCGAUGGGAAACGGGUUAAUAUUCCCGUACUUGGUGUUACUGCGAAGGGGGGACGGAGAAGGCUAUGUUGGCCGGGCGACGGUUGUCCCGGUUUAAGCGUGUAGGUGUGUGUUCCAGGUAAAUCCGGUUCACUUUAACACUGAGGCGUGACGACGAGGCACUACGGUGCUGAAGCAACAAAUGCCCUGCUUCCAGGAAAAGCCUCUAAGCAUCAGGUAACACGAAAUCGUACCCCAAACCGACACAGGUGGUCAGGUAGAGAAUACCAAGGCGCUUGAGAGAACUCGGGUGAAGGAACUAGGCAAAAUGGUGCCGUAACUUCGGGAGAAGGCACGCUGACACGUAGGUGAAGUGAUUUACUCAUGGAGCUGAAGUCAGUCGAAGAUACCAGCUGGCUGCAACUGUUUAUUAAAAACACAGCACUGUGCAAACACGAAAGUGGACGUAUACGGUGUGACGCCUGCCCGGUGCCGGAAGGUUAAUUGAUGGGGUCAGCGCAAGCGAAGCUCCUGAUCGAAGCCCCGGUAAACGGCGGCCGUAACUAUAACGGUCCUAAGGUAGCGAAAUUCCUUGUCGGGUAAGUUCCGACCUGCACGAAUGGCGUAAUGAUGGCCAGGCUGUCUCCACCCGAGACUCAGUGAAAUUGAACUCGCUGUGAAGAUGCAGUGUACCCGCGGCAAGACGGAAAGACCCCGUGAACCUUUACUAUAGCUUGACACUGAACAUUGAGCCUUGAUGUGUAGGAUAGGUGGGAGGCUUUGAAGUGUGGACGCCAGUCUGCAUGGAGCCGACCUUGAAAUACCACCCUUUAAUGUUUGAUGUUCUAACGUGGACCCGUAAUCCGGGUUGCGGACAGUGUCUGGUGGGUAGUUUGACUGGGGCGGUCUCCUCCUAAAGAGUAACGGAGGAGCACGAAGGUUGGCUAAUCCUGGUCGGACAUCAGGAGGUUAGUGCAAUGGCAUAAGCCAGCUUGACUGCGAGCGUGACGGCGCGAGCAGGUGCGAAAGCAGGUCAUAGUGAUCCGGUGGUUCUGAAUGGAAGGGCCAUCGCUCAACGGAUAAAAGGUACUCCGGGGAUAACAGGCUGAUACCGCCCAAGAGUUCAUAUCGACGGCGGUGUUUGGCACCUCGAUGUCGGCUCAUCACAUCCUGGGGCUGAAGUAGGUCCCAAGGGUAUGGCUGUUCGCCAUUUAAAGUGGUACGCGAGCUGGGUUUAGAACGUCGUGAGACAGUUCGGUCCCUAUCUGCCGUGGGCGCUGGAGAACUGAGGGGGGCUGCUCCUAGUACGAGAGGACCGGAGUGGACGCAUCACUGGUGUUCGGGUUGUCAUGCCAAUGGCACUGCCCGGUAGCUAAAUGCGGAAGAGAUAAGUGCUGAAAGCAUCUAAAC
rnacentral:rRNA from 1 species